UUUGCUGUGAGAUAAGUUGAUAAUUAAUUUUUUUCCUAUCUAAUAUUUUUAUUCAUUAUUAUACUUUGUUCUACAAAAAAAAUAUUUUAUCAAAUAUUAAAGAAGAAUUAAUCAAAACCAAACAAUCAUGAAGAUUUAUUUGAUGAUGUUUGCAAUUACUCUGUUGGUCGCUAGUGUGACCGCAGAUGUACAAAUGACACGGGGACUUCAUGAGAACAUGGAGAAGCGAUCACCGCAAGAAGGAGGCCCUCCACCACCACCAUCAAAGGGCAUGAAGCGUUCAGCUCAAGAAGGUAUGGGACCUCCACCCCCACCACAGGAUAUGACACGUUAAGCCAGUGAAGAUUCAUAUUAGAAACACGGGGCCACUACCUUUACUUCCAAAGGAUAAUUUGUUGAUUAAUAUGGAUUUUUUUAAAAAUCAAAAAAUUUAAUGAAAUAAAAAUCUAUCAUUUUUUUCAACAAAUUUAAAGAUAUGAAAUUA